GACAUCAUAGGCAGGAUCAGGGCCAAAACACUUGGAGGUCAACAUUUGAAGAGGAUGAGAUACAGUGAGCCUCUAAAAUAUCUAAUGUAUCAAAGCAUGUGUUGGUAAAAAAUGACAGCAAGUAUGUUGGACAACAGUUUUCUCAUUAUAUUCUAUUUUUGACAAAGGGGAUGAGAAGAAACUUUUUAGGCUAAACCUAUGGCUAACCUAAUCCACCCUUUGUAGGCGAACUGUAUCUCAACAUGGUAAAAAAAGUCCUCUCUAUCCCCACCCCCCAAAAUUCAGUUCUUCAUUUGUUUUGUUCA